AAAACACAGCACUCUGCAAACACGAAAGUGGACGUAUAGGGUGUGACGCCUGCCCGGUGCUGGAAGGUUAAUUGAUGGGGUCAGCCGCAAGGCGAAGCUCUUGAUCGAAGCCCCAGUAAACGGCGGCCGUAACUAUAACGGUCCUAAGGUAGCGAAAUUCCUUGUCGGGUAAGUUCCGACCUGCACGAAUGGCGUAACGACAGCGGCGCUGUCUCCACCCGAGACUCAGUGAAAUUGAAAUCGCUGUGAAGAUGCAGCGUUCCCGUGGCAAGACGGAAAGACCCCGUGAACCUUUACUAUAGCUUUACACUGAACGUUGAGUUCGUCUGUGUAGGAUAGGUGGGAGGCUAUGAAACCAUGGCGCUAGCUGUGGCGGAGCCAUCCUUGAAAUACCACCCUGUCGUGCUUGACGUUCUAACCUGGGCCCAUUAUCUGGGUCGGGGACCGUGUAUGGUGGGUAGUUUGACUGGGGCGGUCUCCUCCUAAAGAGUAACGGAGGAGCUCGAAGGUACGCUCAGCGCGGUCGGACAUCGCGCACUGUGUGCAAAGGCAUAAGCGUGCUUGACUGCAAGAUCGACGGAUCAAGCAGGUAGGAAACUAGGACUUAGUGAUCCGGUGGUUCUGUAUGGAAGGGCCAUCGCUCAACGGAUAAAAGGUACUCCGGGGAUAACAGGCUGAUACCGCCCAAGAGUUCAUAUCGACGGCGGUGUUUGGCACCUCGAUGUCGGCUCAUCACAUCCUGGGGCUGUAGUCGGUCCCAAGGGUAUGGCUGUUCGCCAUUUAAAGUGGUACGCGAGCUGGGUUCAGAACGUCGUGAGACAGUUCGGUCCCUAUCUGCCAUGGGCGUUGGAGAUUUGAGAGGGGCUGCUCCUAGUACGAGAGGACCGGAGUGGACGAACCUCUGGUGUUCCGGUUGUCACGCCAGUGGCAUUGCCGGGUAGCUAUGUUCGGAAGCGAUAACCGCUGAAAGCAUCUAAGCGGGAAGCGCGCCUCAAGAUGAGAUCUCCCGGGGCACAAGCCCC
rnacentral:rRNA from 1 species